ensembl:lncRNA
CAGGCUCCCUGAGCCUCUGGCUCCUGUAAGCCAGAUCUCCAGGCCCAGGCAGGGUCUGAGGGCUGUGGGGUGCAGGACCAGCCCUCCCCUCAGGCUUGUUUCUGAGCUGCCCCACAGUGUGGUGUCGGGUCACAGUACCUGACACACCAGCCCCUGGAAAACAGAGAAGAUGCUGACUUCUUAAUGGGACUCAGUGGAAACUUGCAGUGUGACCCCUCCGUCUUUCCAAGUUGCAUCCCAUGUCAGAGGCCAGCACUUAGCCCACCGCAGCUGCCCGUGCCUUGGCCCGCUCCUGGGAGCCAUUCUGGAAGGUGGUUCCUGAGUCGUGGGCAAAGAACGCCCAGUGCAGAGUGACGCCCUUCCCCACUGCUGUGUGACCGGGCCUGGCCCAGAGCAGAGCUGCCGUGUGAGCCUGGCAUCACCUCACCACGCUGGCCCAGCGGGCAAGGACCUUGCACUUUCGAGGCAGGCGGUGGAACCACUGAGCUACAUUCCCAGCUCAGGAAUUUGUCUUCCUUUCUGAGGCGUCUCCACACUGAUCUCUGCAGUGUUGUACCUGCGUACUCCCCCACCCGUGGGGAAGGCCCCUCGCCAGCGCCUUGUUACUGCUGGGUUUCUUGAAGAUGGCCCUGCCCUCUGGGGAUGGUGGGACUGCGGUGCUGCCUUUAAUUUAAUCCCUUAUUCUCAGCGUUGCUGUUUACUCCCUUCAAGUCCUGAACUCACACAGGUAGUUUCAAAGUUGCCAACCCUUUGUGCCAUGAAAAAGAAAACCUACUGGAGUUGAAGCUCAGCACUUUUCCUUUUGGGGAGAGGUGGGCAGGCAGGGAGAGGCGGGGCUGAGUGAGUCUGUGGCACAGAUGCCCACACCGCCCACCGGGCCUCCGCUCUUCGGCCCUGCCACGGGAAGCCCUGCGUCUGCGCUUUCCAGCCCUCCCUGCUGUCGGGGCUCAGCCAGGGAGGCUGUUGGCAGCCCCUUUAUCAGGAGGUGGGAAUGCCUGGGGCCCAGGCAAUGGGACAUCAAAUGUCCUUGACGGAGAAAGGGUAAUUUCAUCCAGGUUCCUCAAACACUCGGAAUGGAGCCAGCGUGUGGCACGCUGCAGUUGGCUUCUGGGUGCUCACAUCCAAGGCUGCGGAGCUGGUGUGGCAAGGAGACACCUACACGCCACGUCCACCACAGCUGAGGAAAAACAGUGCACCCAGGCAUGCCCCACCAAUGAGCGUGUGAAGGGACAGUGGACGCGCAUGGCAGCAUGCCGUGAGCCUCACAGAAGAGGGAAACAUGUCCUUUCUGACACACAGGUGAAUCUGGGCGAUGUUAAGUAAGACACACCAAGCAACAACAACAAUACCUGUGUGUGUGCGGUGCUGGGGACUGGACCCAGGACCUUCACACUGAGCUACAUCCCCACCUUUUCAUUUUCUGUUUUGAGACAGGGUCUCGCUAACUUGCUCAGUUGCCCAAGCUGGGCUCAAACUUGCCAUCCUCCUGCCUCUGCCUCCCAGUGCUGGGAUGACAGGCGUGCACCACCACACUUAGUUCCUGCUCUAACUUUUCAACAAAAUCCAUUACACUGUAGGAAAAGGUAAAAGAAAACUACGCGAUGGCUUUCUGGAUCUUUGUGUUCUAAACGCUGCCCUAACUUCUUGGAGAAGGCUUGUCGGUCAGUCGGGACUCAAGAAAGCCCUGGGCCUCCCAGGAGGCGCCGCCCCUCCUCGGCCCCAUGCACUGGCCUUGGGGAACCCUUCGGGUUGCCCAGACGCGAGGAUGGGGCUCCUCCUCCUCCACAGGCCCAGCACUGCCUCUGCUGAGGGUAGAUUUUGUUGGAUUCAUAUGCUUGUAGAAAGCAUAGAGAUACAAGUUUAGAAGGAGAAGCAGUCACAGUGGGAACAAGGAGAAGCGAGGAGAGAGGCCGCUUCCCUUGCUGGAGCCGGAGCUCGAGGGCCUUGGUUCCCAGCGCCUCUCCCGAGAGUUACACCUGCAUCAGCUGCUCCUAGGCUCAGACCCUGCCUUGGCCGUGGACCCUCCCUGCCCUUGCACUCUCCCCUCUCUCCGUGAGAUUUGUGACGGGGCCUCAGGCUGACGGCCAAGUUAGCAAGUAUUAAGAGGUACGUGCGCAUGUCAGUGCAUUCACAUGCUGAGAGAAUAAUAAAAUACAGGGCCGGGAUUUAGCUCAGUGGUCAUGCCUGCCUUGCAAGCACAAGGUCCCCAGUUCGAUCCCCGGUACCCAAAGAAACCAACAACAUACCUGCAUUUAUACACAGGUGCCUGAGCAACCAGGCACAAAUGUACAGCUGCCCCUGAAGUGUGUUUCCCUGCAAUUCAGCCUGUCCACUGCGGCCCCUCUGCACCUGGCUGGAGCCCAGAGGAGGACCUGGGCCUGCGACACCCUGCUCAUGCUCCGCCUGUCCUGCUCCCUCCAGGUCAGGGGUUUGCCGAGUCCUUCCCUUCCCUGCCCUGACCCCUGCCCUGACAAAGCCCUCCCGACGGAUGCAGGUGCCGGUAGAUAAAGGACAGGGACUGACGAUGUCUUACUGCAUCUGUGCACAUUUUAGUCAGUUCACCAAGCACCUCCCAGGCCGCAGGGCCCAGCGGGGCUGCGCUCCUGCCUGGCCCUACUGGUCCCAGUCCUUGACGAUGCUCAGGACGCCCCGCUCAGGGGCGGGGCCUGCCAGCCUGGCCAGCACGUCCAGCCCUCCGUGCUCCUUCUCCCUGGAGGACACAAAGUGGGCAGCUCCUGCACCCGGACCCCGGGGCGCCCGCCCGUGUCCCCGUCCCUGUCCCCGUGGCCUGCGCAGCUCCCGGAUCUGUGCGGGCCAGGCCGAUUGGGACCGCAGGGCAGGAGCCCGGGCACCGCUUACCGGAGGACAACGUUGCAUGCCUGCGCGGUGGCCGCUGACCAAGGCCUGCUGGCCCCGCUCCCCAACAUCGUUCCCGCUCACGUCCAGGUGCCUCAGCUCCAGGUUGGUGCCCGGCACAGCCGGCCAGGGCAAGGCAGCCAGCAGAGGACAUGCAGGUGGCAGCUGGGGCACGCCAGGGCCUCGCACAGAGUGGCGGCGCCGUCAUCCCCGAGGGUCAUUGAGGCUGAGGUCCAGGCUUUGGAGGCGCGCUGCUCUCUCGAGAGCUGAGGCCACGUCCUGACAGCAAGCCGAGUGAGACCGAGGACUCAUGUGCUGACUCUGUCUUCCACCACUUGAGGAACAGCCAAGAACGUCUUCCUGAAGUGCCAGCACCUUCUCCUGCUUCUCCGGGGAAAGCUCAAAGUGUCAGUGCUUCCUCAGGUAUUUUGUGCCUCUUUCAGCAUUUCAGAAGCAUUUGCAGAAAUUCCCAAGCGUCACGCACUGCAUCAGGCCUGGGGGCCCCAGAGGCACAGCCCCUGCCCUGGGGAGCUCGGGCCCAGCAAGAACCAAACACAAAGGUGAACAGGCCCGGUGUGUCCGUCUGGCAGGAGGCUCCAAGGUCUCCCUGCCCCUUCCCGCUCAGGCGCCUGCAGCCUCCCAGGACCCGGUGACCAGGGACGGGGUGGGCCCAGGAGGGGUGGAUUUCAGACACGAGGGCACUGUUUACGGGGCUGGAUUGCCUCGGCCCCCGCCUCUGUGGGGUGUGGCUCCCUCUCACGGGAUGACCAGGGACCCCGCUCUGGUCCCCACAGCAGGCAUGGGCGCGUGACCCAGAGGCCCACACCUGCAGACUCCGGCGACUUUUCCUCUCGGAGACACAUCGUCAUCGGCCUCACACUUGCCAUCCUCCUGCCUCAGCCUCCCAGAGUGCUGGGGUCACAGGCGUGCACCACCAUGCCUGGCUCCGUAUUUAAUUCUGUGCUGAACUUCCUCCCGUGACAGCCAAGUGAGACCUCCCCAGGAGGAAGGCAGCGUGACCUGGACACUGACCCUGAGCCCCCGCCCGGCUCUUGUGAUGAGCAGAUGUCGCCGUCCUGCGCAUCUGCAGGGCCCUGGGUGCCUGGGCCCCGCUAACCUGCCUCUUCAGUGGAAAUAACACCCUUUUCCUGACUGCUGUCCCCUGGCACAAGCAUGGCUCCAAUAGGCCUCUGUGGGUCACACGUGUGCCACAGACUAGAACACGAAGCAGGUGUGCUCGGCACUGCUCCCCGCACGCCGAGCCUCAAGGGGAGGCACCUGGGGACUCACACCAGCCUCUGGAGGGGCAGCGCCGCGCUUGCCAGGCUCUCCCAGAUGUGCCUCGCCCCUUCAUCCUUCAGGGCAUUGCCCGCCAGGCUCAGGUGCGUCAGCGUCCGGCUGCUCCCCAGGGAGACGGCCACGCCCGGGCAGGCCAGCUUCAUGAGCCCGCAGCCUCCAGCCUGGGGACAGAGACUCGAGGUGAGCUGCGGACAGGUGGCCGGGUGUGGGGAUGCACGCCUGUGACCCCAGCCCUCUGGGAGGCUGAGGCAGGGGGGAUUGUAAGUUCAAGCCCAGCCUGGGCAAUUUAGCGUCUGGGGGAGAACCUGUCUCAAAAUAAACAAAAAAAGGGCUGAUUGUGUCACACAGCGUGAAGGCCUGCCAGCAGUUCCCUAUACCAAAAAUAUCCCAGCCAACCAAAGGAACAAACAGCCCCGCCCGCCCCUGUGAGACAGGAAAGGGAUGGCCCAGGAGGAGGAGAGGCGCAGAAGCCUGGCCUGCAGUUUAGAGCUAAGGCGGAGGCUGAGGUUGUGGAAAGCGUUCGUCAGGGAUCAGCGUGACGCAAUGAAAACGGGAUCCCGUUCCCACGCCACCGAGUGGAAAAGCGGUCAGAAAGCGGGCUGCGAAGGCUCAGAGGAGCUGUCAGACGCGCUAUGGGUGGACGGAGCCCGGAGGUGCGC